UACAGAGGGGGCAAGCGUUGUUCGGAAUUACUGGGCGUAAAGGGCGCGUAGGCGGCCUUCUAAGUCGAACGUGAAAUCCCCGGGCUCAACCCGGGAACUGCGUCCGAUACUGGAAGGCUUGAAUCCGGGAGAGGGAUGUGGAAUUCCAGGUGUAGCGGUGAAAUGCGUAGAUAUCUGGAGGAACACCGGUGGCGAAGGCGACAUCCUGGACCGGUAUUGACGCUGAGGCGCGAAGGCUAGGGGAGCAAACGGG
rnacentral:rRNA from 1 species